rnacentral:rRNA from 1 species
AGAGUUUGAUCCUGGCUCAGAGCGAACGCUGGCGGCAGGCCUAAUACAUGCAAGUCGAGCGCCGUAGCAAUACGGAGCGGCAGACGGGAGAGUAACACGUGGGAACGUACCCUUCAGUUCGGAACAACCCAGGGAAACUUGGGCUAAUACCGGAUACGUCCGUAAGGAGAAAGAUUUAUCGCUGAAGGAUCGGCCCGCGUCUGAUUAGCUUGUUGGUGAGGUAACGGCUCACCAAGGCGACGAUCAGUAGCUGGUCUGAGAGGAUGAUCAGCCUCACUGGGACUGAGACACGGCCCAGACUCCUACGGGAGGCAGCAGUAGGGAAUAUUGGACAAUGGGCGCAAGCCUGAUCCAGCCAUGCCGCGUGGGUGAUGAAGGCCCUAGGGUUGUAAAGCCCUUUCGGCGGGGAAGAUAAUGACGGUACCCGCAGAAGAAGCCCCGGCUAACUUCGUGCCAGCAGCCGCGGUAAUACGAAGGGGGCUAGCGUUGCUCGGAAUCACUGGGCGUAAAGCGCACGUAGGCGGCUUUUUAAGUCAGAGGUGAAAUCCUGGAGCUCAACUCCAGAACUGCCUUUGAUACUGGAGAGCUUGAGUCCGGGAGAGGUGAGUGGAACUGCGAGUGUAGAGGUGAAAUUCGUAGAUAUUCGCAAGAACACCAGUGGCGAAGGCGGCUCACUGGCCCGGUACUGACGCUGAGGUGCGAAAGCGUGGGGAGCAAACAGGAUUAGAUACCCUCGUAGUCC